UCUCCCCCGGCUGCGAGCGCCUCGUUAACUCGCUGCAGCUGGAGCUCGCUCUGCCCGGCUUUGCACUGCCGCGCGGCCCCGAGCAGCAGCGCGAGGCUUCGCCUCGAGGCCGGGCACGCGCCGGGGGUCAGCACGCGGCCGCUCCCUCGGGCCCGGGGCUGCGUCCCCUCACCGCUCCCCGCAGCGCUCGGCCCGCGCCCGGGGGGUCCGUGCCUCUCAGCCGUCGCUCUCCAGUCGAUAUAAACAGGUACCAGAAGGUCUGAGGAAUGAACUUAGCACUCCAUUUUGGUGAAAGUUUCUGUCAAGUAACAUGCCUGGAUGAAAUGAGAUUCAUUUCCUCCCAACUGUUGUGAAAGUGAUGGAUUUGAAGCAAGAGGAUCUGAGACUUGUCUUCUGUACACUCUGUCUCCAUCUUCUUCAGCUGUGACAUUUGCAUCCUGAAAACACAGUGGAGGUUGGUCACAGAGCUCUUGGGGGAUUUAGAACUCAAACAAAUUACACUGCACUAAGAGAGAACACAGAAAACUAUAAAAAACGCUUCCUUCAUUUGGAGUGAAGGACGGGAAACGUUGUUAGAAAAAGCAUCUUUCCAAUUACGUUUCCUUUCAGAGGAAUGUUUUAUCAACAGUUUUAGUUUGAUACUUGUAUUAAUGUUUCAGCAACAUCAGCUUCUGUUUCAGAAGAGAAGAAAACCUCUGAUAAAUGAAUCUCUCCACUAAAUUGUAAUGGGUGAGCAGGGUGGGAAAGAUGAUGCUAUAAAUGAUGGUAGGUAUGAACAUCUGCAGAAAGCUUGGGGCUCACAUUAACACAUAUUAAGGUUAGACAAUUAGAUGCUUGUCAGGAGCUCAAGUAAUAAGCAGAAGUGAAACAUAAGCCUUCUGUACAGUGAACGUAAAUAUUUCAGUGUCUCUUACAAUCUAAUUAUGGGAAAUGUUACAGUGGAAAUCAUACUGUUCCUUUACAAAAUGUAUUUGUCUGUUUAUCUGUCAAAACAGACUGAAAUGUAAAUCUCCAAAAUGUUUUCAGUCUUUGAAGCGUUCAGUACAGCUAUUUAUAUUCACGUAAAUUCUGAGAUCUUUUUGAAACUUUGUAUUUCUGAUUGCGGAAUUCAGCGUCGCUUCUUAGCACAUUGCAUACUGAUGGCUUUGAACAUACACACAGCGGUAACGCGGCUACGAGCACCACCCUGCUGAGAGACAUCUCUAAAGGAGCAGUGACUUCUGUAUUGAGGUUUGGGGUUAUUUUUACAAUUAGGGGAAAUGUCAAAGUGCAUUAAAUUGUUUAAUUCUCCUGUACACCACUAAAUUGCUUGUUGCUUCAUUUAUCCAGCAGAUAUUUGAGAGCAGAGACCACUUUCUGAAGCCAUUCUGUAGAUAAGUUUGUACUAGAACUGCUAGGGGACUGAAAUCACAAUACAGCUGAACAGACCUUCAUUUAGACACUGGAUUUUUGGAAUCACAACGCCUCACCAAAAAUAUUAUGCAGCAUUUAAACUACAGCAGGAAUUAUGGUAAACAGUUUAAAUGUCCCUUUUCAAACACUUUCGAGAGCUCAGAAUGACAUGAGAGAUCUUUAGCAAUCCCAGUCGGUUGACUUAAAUUGGUGGAAAGGUGCUGAGCUCCCACAGCUGAGGGCUGUGGCUCAGAGUAUCUGACGGAUGCAGGCAGGAGAUACUCGGACAGAGAAGCAUUCACAAAGAAGUGUUACCUGUUGUCUAAGGAUGUAACUGAGAGUCUUGUCUUUGUAUAUCACAGUGGCUUAUGCCAGCUCUUGACAAUGGUGAUAUGUAAUUUAAUAUAUUCUGCUUCAAAUGCAGUCAUGCUUUAGAAACAUCUAAAUAAUGACAAUAGUAUAGGUGUAGAACCAGUUUAAUUUUUUGGUAGAGUUGUUUUAAGUUUAUCUUUUGCUUAGUCACCAUGUGGCUUUGAAAUUCUGGAAGAACUUAACUUCACAAAUGUGCUUCAUAAGAAAAUAUUUUACCUGUGUGGUGCAUGCAGGCUACCUGGGCUUCACUUAACUGAGCGGCAGUAUGCGUUUAGGUUGAUGUAAUUCACAGGUAAUGCAGUGUUCAUCUUGGAACCUGUGCUCCUAGUAUGCACAUGUGCAUUUCCAGCAAUUUGACCCAACGUUAAUUUCACACGCAGACUGAGGACAGGUAA